AUUGAACGCUGGCGGCAUGCUUUACACAUGCAAGUCGAACGGCAGCGCGGACUUCGGUCUGGCGGCGAGUGGCGAACGGGUGAGUAAUAUAUCGGAACGUACCCAAGAGUGGGGGAUAACGUAGCGAAAGUUACGCUAAUACCGCAUACGAUCUAAGGAUGAAAGCAGGGGACCUUCGGGCCUUGUGCUCCUGGAGCGGCCGAUAUCUGAUUGGCUAGUUGGUGAGGUAAAGGCUCACCAAGGCAACGAUCAGUAGCUGGUCUGAGAGGACGAGCAGCCACACUGGAACUGAGACACGGUCCAGACUACUACGGGAGGCAGCAGUGGAGAAUUUUGGACAAUGGGGGCAACCCUGAUCCAGCAAUGCCGCGUGAGUGAAGAAGGCCUUCGGGUUGUAAAGCUCUUUUGUCAGGGAAGAAAAGGCUGUGGCUAAUAUCCACAGCUGCUGACGGUACCUGAAGAAUAAGCACCGGCUAACUACGUGCCAGCCGCCGCCGUAACAC
rnacentral:rRNA from 1 species